rnacentral:rRNA from 1 species
AUACGUAGGUGGCGAGCGUUGUCCGGAAUUAUUGGGCGUAAAGCGCAUGUAGGCGGUUUGGUAAGUCGGUCGUGAAAAUGCGGUGCUUAACGCCGUAUGGCGAUUGAAACUGCUGAACUUGAGUGCAGGAGAGGAAAGGGGAACUCCCAGUGUAGCGGUGAAAUGUGUAGAUAUUGGGAAGAACACCGGUGGCGAAGGCGCCUUUCUGGACGGUGUCUGACGCGCAGAUGCGAAAGCCAGGGUAGCGAACGGGAUUAGAUACCCCGGUAGUCCUGGCCGUAAACGAUGGGUACUAGGUGUGGGAGGUAUCGACUCCUUCCGUGCCGGAGUUAACGCAAUAAGUACCCCGCCUGGGGAGUACGGCCGCAAGGCUUAAACUCAAAUGAAUUGACGGGG